rnacentral:tRNA from 1 species
GAGGUUGGAGCUCAGUGGUAAAGCGCUUGCUUUGCAUGCAUGAGGCCCUGGGUUUGAUCCUCAGCACCACA